UACGUAGGGUGCGAGCGUUGUCCGGAAUUAUUGGGCGUAAAGGGCUCGUAGGCGGACCUGCAAGUCGGGGGUGAAAGCCCGAGGCUCAACCUCGGAACUGCCUUCGAUACUGCGGGUCUCGAGUCCGGGAGAGGUGAGUGGAAUUCCUAGUGUAGAGGUGAAAUUCGUAGAUAUUAGGAAGAACACCAGUGGCGAAGGCGGCUCACUGGCCCGGUACUGACGCUGAGGCGCGAAAGCGUGGGGAGCAAACAGG
rnacentral:rRNA from 1 species